CGUGUAGGCGGGAAUGUAAGUCAGAUGUGAAAUGCCGAGGCUUAACUUCGGAGCUGCAUCUGAAACUGCGUUUCUUGAGUGUCGGAGAGGAAAGUGGAAUUCCCAGUGUAGCGGUGAAAUGCGUAGAUAUUGGGAGGAACACCAGUGGCGAAGGCGACUUUCUGGACGAUAACUGGCGCUGAGGCGCGAAAGCGUGGGGAGCAAACAGGAUUAGAUACCCUGGUAGUCCACGCCGUAAACGAUGGAUACUAGGUGUAGGAGGUAUCGACCCCUUCUGUGCCGGAGUUAACACAAUAAGUAUCCCACCUGGGGAGUACGGCCGCAAGGUUGAA
rnacentral:rRNA from 1 species